GGGCCUGCUGGCCGGGGUCGUGCAGGCGGUGCUGCUCGUGCCGGUGCUCGUGCUGUUCGACGUCACGCUGGCCCAC
rnacentral:tRNA from 1 species